rnacentral:rRNA from 1 species
UACGUAGGGGGGCAAGCGUUGUCCGGAAUCAUUGGGCGUAAAGAGCGUGUAGGCGGCCAGAUAAGUCCGCUGUGAAAUCUCGAGGCUCAACUUCGAGCUGUCGGUGGAAACUGUCUGGCUAGAGUCCGGAAGAGGAGAAUGGAAUUCCUGGUGUAGCGGUGAAAUGCGCAGAUAUCAGGAGGAACACCGGUGGCGGAAGGCGCCCACUCUGGGCCGAAACUGACGCUGAGGAGCGAAAGCGUGGGUAGCAAACAGG